GUCGACAGCCAUACCACCCUGAUCGCACUCGAUCUUGUCUGAUCUUGGCAGCUAAGAAGGGCUGGGCCUGGUUAGUACUUAGAUGGGAGAGCAGGUUAUAGGACC
rnacentral:rRNA from 1 species